rnacentral:rRNA from 2 species
UUGACCUCGGAUCAUGUAGGGAUACCCGCUGAACUUAAGCAUAUCAAUAAGCGGAGGAA